rnacentral:rRNA from 1 species
AGACUCAGUGAAAUUGAACUCGCUGUGAAGAUGCAGUGUACCCGCGGCAAGACGGAAAGACCCCGUGAACCUUUACUAUAGCUUGACACUGAACAUUGAGCCUUGAUGUGUAGGAUAGGUGGGAGGCUUUGAAGUGUGGACGCCAGUCUGCAUGGAGCCGGCCUUGAAAUACCACCCUUUAAUGUUUGAUGUUCUAACGUGGACCCGUGAUCCGGGUUGCGGACAGUGUCUGGUGGGUAGUUUGACUGGGGCGGUCUCCUCCUAAAGAGUAACGGAGGAGCACGAAGGUUGGCUAAUCCUGGUCGGACAUCAGGAGGUUAGUGCAAUGGCAUAAGCCAGCUUGACUGCGAGCGUGACGGCGCGAGCAGGUGCGAAAGCAGGUCAUAGUGAUCCGGUGGUUCUGAAUGGAAGGGCCAUCGCUCAACGGAUAAAAGGUACUCCGGGGAUAACAGGCUGAUACCGCCCAAGAGUUCAUAUCGACGGCGGUGUUUGGCACCUCGAUGUCGGCUCAUCACAUCCUGGGGCUGAAGUAGGUCCCAAGGGUAUGGCUGUUCGCCAUUUAAAGUGGUACGCGAGCUGGGUUUAGAACGUCGUGAGACAGUUCGGUCCCUAUCUGCCGUGGGCGCUGGAGAACUGAGGGGGGCUGCUCCUAGUACGAGAGGACCGGAGUGGACGCAUCACUGGUGUUCGGGUUGUCAUGCCAAUGGCACUGCCCGGUAGCUAAAUGCGGAAGAGAUAAGUGCUGAAAGCAUCUAAGCACGAAACUUGCCCCGAGAUGAGUUCUCCCUGAGACUUUAGGUCUCCUGAAGGAACGUUGAAGACGACGACGUUGAUAGGCCGGGUGUGUAAGCGCAGCGAUGCGUUGAGCUAACCGGUACUAAUGAACCGUGAGGCUUAACCUU